AUUUACCCGAGGUGGUUGGGUACAGCUUGGUUCUACACAUUUUGGGGAGGAGACAUAAGACAUCAGUCAAUACAUGUGAGAUUUCCAUACUACUGGCAAAGAUCUCACUAAUUAGCCCUCAUAUAUUGACUUCUGUUUUCAUUUUUCUUCUUUAUUUAUCCUCAAUUGAUUGGUGAUUCCAGCCCUUUGGUCCAGCACUCAAGCCUGGAUCACUCAGUCAUCAUCUUUAUCCACUAACUGCUGGACUCUAAUGAAAAGAAAGCUCUUACCUGCCCAACUUAUUGCCUCCAAGUGUACCAAGAUACGUUUCUCUCUGACAUUGCCUGUACAUUUGCCUGUAGAACUGAAUAAAUGCCUAAAAAAUUAGUGCUAAAUGGCAGCAACUAGAGUUUACUUUG
rnacentral:lncRNA from 1 species